rnacentral:sRNA from 1 species
AAAGCUAGACACAAAGAUUUACUGACAUCUGCUUCAACCAUCUGAGCAAUACCAAAUUGUACUGUGUAUACACUAUCCUUGGUAGACGCGUUUACAUUCACCUACAGCAACUACGUGAAUAUCGUUAAAACUAAGAUUUCGAUAAAUGAAGAAAUUGAGUCACAGUUUCAUAGGAAUACGUUAAUUGUUUACUUAACGUAAACGAUCAUGUUACUGAAUUUUGAUAGAGUAGAAAGUUAUCGAAGUUAUCUGGUUUGAAAGAAAUAGUGUGGAUUUUUCAGUUGCUUUUAGUCAAUUUAAAAAUUGCUAAUAGUUAGGAAGUACAACGCGUAUUUGAAAUUUGGAAAUAGAAAUAUUAUUUCAUUAUCCACGGAAAACAGAACAAGAGAAUCUAGGCUGAAUUUCAUUGAUCGGUACAAAGUACUAAUAACAAUAUUCAACUUUCAACUCGAGACAUUACAAUCAGAAAUUGUGUGAAAUAUAGAAGGUAAGCAAUGUUAGGUUACAACGAAAAAAUAAGUCAUAACUCAAUAAUUGAUGUUAAUGGAGGUGAUUAGGAGAGAAACGGGUUUCUUUCGUCUAUAGAAAUGACAACAUUUCGCAGAAUGCGUGCUAGCUUUUGAAUGUAAACUGAUUGAUACAAGCAUUUGAAAUUCUACAGCACACCAAUAAAUUUAUUGCUAUAUACAACGUUUAUUCCUUGCGUUUCAUCGUGAUUUAUUCAGUUUAGCAUAUGUCGAUGGGUAUUCAGUAGUAUAAAUAUCACAAUCCAUAAAAGCUUACUUACUUAUUUUU